GAAAAAUUGUAACUCACAUUCCCAAAAAGCGCCACGGAUGGUCAGUGGACCUUCGUUGCUGUUGGCGUUCUUUGAACUGAACCAAACAUCCUUGUCAAUGCGCUUUUCCAGAAGGAUUCUGCGUUCUGAACUGCUCCCUGUAAAAUAGUAUUUUUAAUUAAAAAAAUACAUAACGCCUUUUCAUAUGUAAAUCUGAAAUUAAAUCUUACAAGUUA